AUUGAACGCUGGCGGCAUGCCUUACACAUGCAAGUCGAACGGUAACAGGUCUUCGGAUGCUGACGAGUGGCGAACGGGUGAGUAAUGCAUCGGAACGUGCCCAGUAGUGGGGGAUAGCCCGGCGAAAGCCGGAUUAAUACCGCACGCGACCUGAGGGUGAAAGGGGGGGAUCGCAAGACCUCUCGCUAUUGGAGCGGCCGAUGUCAGAUUAGCUAGCUGGUGGGGUAAAGGCCUACCAAGGCAACGAUCUGUAGUUGGUCUGAGAGGACGACCAGCCACACUGGGACUGAGACACGGCCCAGACUCCUACGGGAGGCAGCAGUGGGGAAUUUUGGACAAUGGGCGCAAGCCUGAUCCAGCAAUGCCGCGUGCAGGAAGAAGGCCUUCGGGUUGUAAACUGCUUUUGUCAGGGAAGAAAUCUUCUGGGUUAAUACCUCGGGAGGAUGACGGUACCUGAAGAAUAAGCACCGGCUAACUACGUGCCAGCCGCCGCAGUAAUAC
rnacentral:rRNA from 1 species